GACGAACGCUGGCGGCGUGCCUAAUACAUGCAAGUAGAACGCUGAAGACUUUAGCUUGCUAAAGUUGGAAGAGUUGCGAACGGGUGAGUAACGCGUAGGUAACCUGCCUACUAGCGGGGGAUAACUAUUGGAAACGAUAGCUAAUACCGCAUAACAGCAUUUAACCCAUGUUAGAUGCUUGAAAGGAGCAAUUGCUUCACUAGUAGAUGGACCUGCGUUGUAUUAGCUAGUUGGUGAGGUAACGGCUCACCAAGGCGACGAUACAUAGCCGACCUGAGAGGGUGAUCGGCCACACUGGGACUGAGACACGGCCCAGACUCCUACGGGAGGCAGCAGUAGGGAAUCUUCGGCAAUGGGGGCAACCCUGACCGAGCAACGCCGCGUGAGUGAAGAAGGUUUUCGGAUCGUAAAGCUCUGUUGUAAGAGAAGAACGUGUGUGAGAGUGGAAAGUUCACACAGUGACGGUAACUUACCAGAAAGGGACGGCUAACUACGUGCCAGCAGCCGCGGUAAUACGUAGGUCCCGAGCGUUGUCCGGAUUUAUUGGGCGUAAAGCGAGCGCAGGCGGUUUAAUAAGUCUGAAGUUAAAGGCAGUGGCUUAACCAUUGU
rnacentral:rRNA from 1 species